UAGAAAAAAGUAUUCAACUAACAAAAUGUUCAGAAUUUUACGUAGAUCAUUUUUGUAGUUGAUAAUUUUUUGAUAACUCU
ensembl:ncRNA Y87G2A.22 ncRNA